UACAGAGGGGGCAAGCGUUGUUCGGAAUUACUGGGCGUAAAGGGCGCGUAGGCGGCCUGUUAAGUCGAACGUGAAAUCCCCAGGCUCAACCUGGGAACUGCGUCCGAUACUGGCAGGCUUGAAUCCGGGAGAGGGAUGCGGAAUUCCAGGUGUAGCGGUGAAAUGCGUAGAUAUCUGGAGGAACACCGGUGGCGGAAGGCGGCAU
rnacentral:rRNA from 1 species